rnacentral:rRNA from 1 species
UACGUAGGGUGCAAGCGUUGUCCGGAAUUAUUGGGCGUAAAGAGUUCGUAGGCGGUUUGUCGCGUCUGCUGUGAAAAUCCAGGGCUUAACCCUGGACCUGCAGUGGGUACGGGCAGACUGGAGUGCGGUAGGGGAGAUCGGAAUUCCUGGUGUAGCGGUGAAAUGCGCAGAUAUCAGGAGGAACACCGGUGGCGAAGGCGGAUCUCUGGGCCGUAACUGACGCUGAGGAGCGAAAGCAUGGGGAGCGAACAGG